UACGGGGGGUGCAAGCGUUAAUCGGAAUUACUGGGCGUAAAGGGUGCGUAGGUGGUUUAAUAAGUUAGCUGUGAAAGCCCUGGGCUCAACCUGGGAAUGUCAGUUAAGACUGUUGGACUCGAGUAUAGGAGAGGGUAGUGGAAUUUCCGGUGUAGCGGUGAAAUGCGUAGAGAUCGGAAGGAACACCAGUGGCGAAGGCGGCUUGCCAGAACGCGCUCGACGGUGAGGGAUGAAAGCUGGGGGAGCAAACCGG
rnacentral:rRNA from 1 species